rnacentral:rRNA from 1 species
ACUGCGAGUGAAGCGGCAAAAGCUCAAAUUUGAAAUCUAGUACCUUUGGGUGCUCGAGUUGUAAUUUGGAGAGGCAACUUCGGAGGGGGCGCUGGCCUAAGUUCCUUGGAACAGGACGUCACAGAGGGUGAGAAUCCCGUGCUUGGCUGGCUGUCCUCCUUCAUGUGAAGUGUCUUCGACGAGUCGAGUUGUUUGGGAAUGCAGCUCAAAAUGGGUGGUAAACUCCAUCUAAGGCUAAAUAUUGGCGAGAGACCGAUAGCGCACAAGUAGAGUGAUCGAAAGAUGAAAAGCACUUUGAAAAGAGAGUUAAACAGUACGUGAAAUUGUUGAAAGGGAAGCGCUUGAGACCAGACUCGGUAAUUGGUGAUCAGCGGUAGCUUCUGCUCCGUGCACUUGCCUUUUACUGGGCCAGCAUCAGUUGCGACGGCAGGAUAAAGGCUCAGGGAAUGUGGCUCUCUUCGGGGAGUGUUAUAGCCCUGGGUGUAAUGCUGCCUGCCGCGACUGAGGACCGCGCUUCGGCUAGGAUGCUGGCAUAAUGGUCUUCAGCGACCCGUCUUGAAACACGGACCAAGGAGUCUAACAUCUAUGCGAGUGUUCGGGUGUAAAACCCCUGCGCGUAAUGAAAGUGAACGGAGGUGGGAACUCUUUGGAGUGCACCAUCGACCGAUCCUGAUGUCUUCGGAUGGAUUUGAGUAGGAGCAUAGCUGUUGGGACCCGAAAGAUGGUGAACUAUGCCUGAAUAGGGUGAAGCCAGAGGAAACUCUGGUGGAGGCUCGCAGCGGUUCUGACGUGCAAAUCGAUCGUCAAAUUUGGGUAUAGGGGCGAAAGACUAAUCGAACCAUCUAGUAGCUGGUUCCUGCCGAAGUUUC